UACGUAGGGUGCAAGCGUUGUCCGGAUUUAUUGGGUUUAAAGGGUGCGUAGGCGGCCCGGUAAGUCAGUGGUGAAAGCCUCCAGCUCAACUGGAGAACUGCCAUUGAUACUGCCGGGCUUGAGUACAGACGAGGUUGGCGGAAUUGAUUGUGUAGCGGUGAAAUGCAUAGAUACAAUCAAGAACUCCGAUUGCGUAGGCAGCUAACUAGGCUGUAACUGACGCUGAGGCACGAAAGCGUGGGGAGCGAACAGG
rnacentral:rRNA from 1 species